rnacentral:tRNA from 1 species
UACCGCGUAGCGCAGUGGCAGCGUGUUCGGCUCCGGACCGAGAGGUCUCGGGUUCGAAUCUGGAUGCCGUGC